rnacentral:rRNA from 1 species
CGCCAGACUCCUACGGGAGGCAGCAGUGGGGAAUAUUGGACAAUGGGGGAAACCCUGAUCCAGCGACGCCGCGUGAGUGAAGAAGUAUUUCGGUACGUAAAGCUCUAUCAGCAGGAAAGAAAAUGACGGUACCUGACUAAGAAGCCCCGGCUAACUACGUGCCAGCAGCCGCGGUAAUACGUAGGGGGCAAGCGUUAUCCGGAUUUACUGGGUGUAAAGGGAGCGUAGACGGCAGCGCAAGUCUGGAGUGAAAUGCCGGGGCCCAACCCCGGAACUGCUCUGGAAACUGUGAAGCUGGAGUGCAGGAGAGGUAAGCGGAAUUCCUGGUGUAGCGGUGAAAUGCGUAGAUAUCAGGAGGAACACCGGCGGCGAAGGCGGCUUACUGGACUGUAACUGACGUUGAGGCUCGAAGGCGUGGGGAGCAAACAGGAUUAGAUACCCUAGUACC